rfam:Aedes aegypti strain Liverpool supercont1.687 genomic scaffold, whole genome shotgun sequence.
UGCCCAGCAACUCGUAUCCCUACCUCCACGUGGUACUGGCCGGGGUACGAGUAACCUUGGGGAAGAUCGGGUAACCAACCCCCGGUGGGAACUUUGGUCGUAUGCUGACAGGGUGGG